rnacentral:rRNA from 1 species
UGCAAGUCGAACGCACAGCGAAAGGUGCUUGCACCUUUCAAGUGAGUGGCGAACGGGUGAGUAACACGUGGACAACCUGCCUCAAGGCUGGGGAUAACAUUUGGAAACAGAUGCUAAUACCGAAUGAAACUUAGUGUCGCAUGACACGAAGUUAAAAGGCGCUUUGGCGUCACCUAGAGAUGGAUCCGCGGUGCAUUAGUUAGUUGGUGGGGUAAAGGCCUACCAAGACAAUGAUGCAUAGCCGAGUUGAGAGACUGAUCGGCCACAUUGGGACUGAGACACGGCCCAAACUCCUACGGGAGGCUGCAGUAGGGAAUCUUCCACAAUGGGCGAAAGCCUGAUGGAGCAACGCCGCGUGUGUGAUGAAGGCUUUCGGGUCGUAAAGCACUGUUGUAUGGGAAGAACAGCUAGAAUAGGGAAUGAUUUUAGUUUGACGGUACCAUACCAGAAAGGGACGGCUAAAUACGUGCCAGCAGCCGCGGUAAUACGUAUGUCCCGAGCGUUAUCCGGAUUUAUUGGGCGUAAAGCGAGCGCAGACGGUUGAUUAAGUCUGAUGUGAAAGCCCGGAGCUCAACUCCGGAAUGGCAUUGGAAACUGGUUAACUUGAGUGCAGUAGAGGUAAGUGGAACUCCAUGUGUAGCGGUGGAAUGCGUAGAUAUAUGGAAGAACACCAGUGGCGAAGGCGGCUUACUGGACUGUAACUGACGUUGAGGCUCGAAAGUGUGGGUAGCAAACAGGAUUAGAUACCCUGGUAGUCCACACCGUAAACGAUGAACACUAGGUGUUAGGAGGUUUCCGCCUCUUAGU